rnacentral:lncRNA from 1 species
AAAUUAUUUAAUUCAUUCUCUUAACUGAUUCAUAGCAAGCUGCAAAAAGUUACCUCUCAGGCUACGUUUGAAGUUAUGUCUACUGCUUAUAUCAAACACUGAAGUUAAUUGUCAGCAAAAUCCUUGUAGAAAUACCAUUGGUAGUGUGCAAAGUAAGAAUGUCUUAUUGGAUCACCUGUUUUGCCAGGAUUUGGUGAGGGUAUGCACAUAGACUAAGUGUUUGGUUACUUGCAAAAUGUUCUUCCAUACCAGCACAGCUGAAGACUCAGAGUGAAGGAAGAGUGGAGGAAGGUGAGGUCAGAGGAAAAGGUAGGUCUCACCUAAGCUUGGGACAGACUUCAGGAAAACUGCAUGCCAGUUCUUAAUGCAGUCUUCAAGAGUAAACUCCUGGUAAACCUCCUCUACGUUCAGAUGGAGCCAGUUCAAUCCAGUUUGCAAACUGAAUUUAAUGAUGUGCUGGCUGAGGAAGAAGUGACGUGGGAAGGAGAAUCUGUGAAUGUGAGGGAAGCAAGGAUAAAGGAUCUAGAAGUGCUCCUAGACUGAGGAACAAGAAAUGGCUCCUUGCUUCACUUCUUGUAUUGGGAACCAUGUACUUGUUUUGCCAUCUUGAAGCCCCAAGCAGUCUCUCACAUAUACAAUGUGGCAUGUACGGAUUUAACUAUAUUGUCAUUUGGGAAUAGGAAUACUCAUGUCAAUUCUUCUAUGCAAUCGAUUUGUAUGAUGUACUUGUUUAAGAUUUAUUUUGCAAGCUCUCCUGCUGCCCCUGUUUACCCCUGCAAGAUGGUCCUGCAACACUCCCUCCUCUCAGCCCCUUGAAAGGAGAUGCAAGCCAACAAAAGACUGUAUUGGCAAUGCCUGUUCCCAGCCCUGUGUGGCUGCUCUGUGUCCACCGUGUACCUUGACACUGGGGUGACCCUGCUGCUAAAACAGCUGCUUCUGUGGCUGCCAGCAGACCUGGUCUUUCAUUAUGUAAUUGUGAAUCAGGAUUGUUACUGCUCAUGUGUAUAAGAGUAUGAACCAAACUUCCCUUUCCAUCUUUGGCCAGGUCGGCUUUUGGAUCGACACCUUCUCCCUCCCAGUGAGAUAUAGCUCUCUGUGCUGCCCAGCAGCAUUUGGUACAUUUAUAAGGCCAUUUGUGAUAGUACUGUUAUUUUGAGAAUGUUAUGGAGUGGCUGUGUGCUGGGUGGCUGCUGCAGCCAGACACAGCACCAGGAAAGAGAAGGAACAGACUGCAGCAUGGCCAUGCUUGGGAGCAGAAGCAAGGCUUGGCAAGAUCUGCACUGAUAGGCCAUGCUGAGGAUGUGGUUGCUCCAGUGUCCUAAAGCAGGGAUUCCAAGCUCCUGCUUCCCCAGGGGAGGAUAGUGAAGCCUUCUACAUGUAGCAAAUAACCACAGCAGCAGACUGCUGGAGUGCCAGAAGCAGCAACAAAGCGCAUCUGACUGCUCCUGCUGAUUUGUCAACGGUAACUAACCCGAGGUGUGUUCUGGGGGUCAAUACAUCUCUGACAGAGCUGUUCUGCCACCAGUACCUGUGCUGGUGGAUGUUCAACAUGGGGCUGAACGCAGCUGUUGUCACAGACCAUGUGGAUGGUGACCAAUAUCCUAUGUGUGCUACUAAAACAGUAACAAGGAGGGAGCUUACUGUAGAUACAAGAGGUUCACAGCUCUUAAUUCUCUUCCACUUAGCAAUAUUACAGUACAUUCCCCAUAUUAGUGGUCCUAGGUGGCCCAGAGUACAUACAAAUAUGGGAGAGGUCAUCUUGCUUCUGAAGUAAAGCAUAUAGCUUUCCAUAUAAAGGAAAUGUGUGGUUAAAACAGCAACAACAAAAAAUCUUACUUCUGUGCUUGUUAAUGUUUUCACAGCAGUUGAGCAUAUCUGAUUACUCUUACCAGUUUUAGUUUAUCUAGUUUGGUGGUCAAAAUGAGCCUGAUGGAAAGGGAUGUACUAUUCCCUAUCACAUUCUAAACUAUAUCAACCCAGUGAGUUUAAGUGUCACUGUAAAAUCUGAAGCUGGAAACAUAAAUGCUUGCUUUAUCUAAAAUACAAAGAAUGCAGCUCAGCCUGUUAGUGGGCUAGGCUCAGAAUAACCUCCCAGACAACAUGGCAGAGUUUUGGAAAGUUUGUGUACAUGCUAUGUUGUAGAUUUCUUUAAAGAUUAAGAACACAUUAAAGAUAAAGAACACAUUUCUAUAGGUUUUUGCAGAAAGAAAAGAUGCCUUUGUUUAAAAAAUUAUAAUAAUAAAAAAAUGUAUAAGAUGUU